rnacentral:rRNA from 1 species
UGGGGAAUUUUAGACAAUGGGCGAAAGCCUGAUCCAGCAAUGCCGCGUGUGUGAAGAAGGCCUUCGGGUUGUAAAGCACUUUUGUCCGGAAAGAAAUCCUUGGCUCUAAUACAGUCGGGGGAUGACGGUACCGGAAGAAUAAGCACCGGCUAACUACGUGCCAGCAGCCGCGGUAAUACGUAGGGUGCAAGCGUUAAUCGGAAUUACUGGGCGUAAAGCGUGCGCAGGCGGUUUGCUAAGACCGAUGUGAAAUCCCCGGGCUCAACCUGGGAACUGCAUUGGUGACUGGCAGGCUAGAGUAUGGCAGAGGGGGGUAGAAUUCCACGUGUAGCAGUGAAAUGCGUAGAGAUGUGGAGGAAUACCGAUGGCGAAGGCAGCCCCCUGGGCCAAUACUGACGCUCAUGCACGAAAGCGUGGGGAGCAAACAGGAUUAGAUACCCUGGUAGUCCACGCCCUAAACGAUGUCAACUAGUUGUUGGGGAUUCAUUUCCUUAGUAACGUAGCUAACGCGUGAAGUUGACCGCCUGGGGAGUACGGUCGCAAGAUUAAAACUCAAAUGAAUUGACGGGGUCAUAGCUGUUUCCU